GGGAUACGGAUACCUCACUCAUCACUUUCUGCGAUAAGUAACUCACGCUCGGAUAAGCGAUUCCGCGGACCGAACAAGUCUUCACGCUCGAAAACUCUUCUGCCGAAACGAUUUUUUGUGCCUUCUCGACUAUAUCGAUAGCAGAAUCCUACAGACGAGUAAGAGUACACGUAAGCGGCAAGGCCGACCGAGCCGAGGGACUCCUACGCCUCCGGGAUACGGAUACCUCACUCAUCACCUUCCGUGAAAAGUAACUCUCGCUCGGACAAACAAUUCUGUUACUGACAGAUAAGUCUUGAUAUCCGAAACAAGAGGAAAAGAAACGCAGCUUUACAACACAACGACAGUAUGUUUGGGCCUCGGCGGCCGCAGAAAACAUACGCGCACUACAAGAUAAACCGAUCCUGCAGGCUCGGACCUUGACGGAGGGGGAGCAGCAGCACCCUCGGCGUCAACUACACCUUCGGCGAAGUCCGACCGAGCCUCGGACGGCAACGUGGUCGAAGGAUCUCUGCUCCGAAGGUCGACAUCAGCACCGCGCCCGGGCCAUCGCCGCCAGGGUCUCCUCCAGGAAUCUGGCUCGAGCAGACGGCUCGGCUGGCCCGUAGCCUCAGCCAGCUGUCCCCCGAGGACAUCAGCCCGGCUCAUGGCCUCGGCGACUCAACUCUAGCGCCGGUCCCGCCGGUGGAUGGCCCGGUCAGGCUCCGGCCGACGAAGUCUUCUUUUCGAGCCAACUCUGCCUCUGUCCACACUGACACCGCUGCCUCCGGCUUCGGCUCAUCGAAGAGCGGCCAAAGGUUCCUUUAACUAAGCAAGAGAAGCCUCGGGCAGCAAGGCCGACCGAGCCGAGGGACUCCUACGCCUCUGGGAUACGGAUACCUCACUCAUCACCUUCGCACGAGGCAACUCACGCUUGGUGAAGCGGUUCAGAUAGCCGACAGGCGAGUCCUAGUGCUCGAAAUGAGGAAAAAACACGGCUCCGUUCCAAAAAUACAUACAUGUUCAGGCCCCGACAGCCACAAUGAACAGACACCGGCACUCAAGGUGCCAUUACAAGCGGAGCAACAGAAGGCCGACGGAUGGCUCGCCGCCGCCCGCUCCAGCAGCAGCGACAACGACUUCUGCUCCGAGCAGCCGAAUAGCAGCAGCGAUGACCUCAGGGCCGAUGCUGCUGCCAUAAGGCCCUCGCCCAUGUCCCCACUCGAGGGGCGAGGACGAGCAGAAGGCCGUAGAGUUGGAGGUCAGUCCGCGGGCGGCACCGACUAUCUCGUCGGUGGAGAAACCUCUUCCGGCUGCCGCGGCGGAAGGUGGCACCGGAAGCAGCGCCGAAGCCGCUCGGACCGGAGAGCCGGACACACGUCAGCUGCCAGCGCCACGAACGGCGAAUGCCCUUCCCCCCGAUCGCUGAGGGAAGGAGCGGGCCGCUGCCCGCGCGGAGACCGACCCCAACUCGGCGCACUCCCCUCCCCAGCACUGAUGAUGAACAUCCUUGAAGUUGAGGGAGGGGCAGAGGCCGCAGCCCGGCUUGCUUCUCCCCACCGAGGAGCUGGUGGUCACCGUCUUGGGUGACCACCGGCGAGGGGAUGCGGCCGGGUUGGCUGAUGAAAAUCCUUGAAGCCGAGCGAUGGCUGAAAGGUACCAACUUCCGUGAAGUUGCGUUCCUCCAAUGACAAGGCGGAAGAACUGCGAGUGUUCCCCAUCCAGGGGCUCGGAAGGUGGAAAGACGCGAUGCAUAAGGGGAGCGCGAAGACAUGGUUGCCUUUCAAGGGGGUCACCCUCCUUUUAAAGGAAACUCUCCCCACUUGCGUCCUCAGCCGUCGCGGGCUGAGUCUUCUCCAACACGCUCCAAGGUCCUCCCCCUACGACACGGGGGCUGGGUCCCACGCGUCGCGCAACCGGCCCAAGACAGAAGGAGCCAAAACCGCCGCGCGCGGUGCGCGUAACUGCCCGGCGGUUACAAGCAUUCCUCCACUUUCGCCCAGACCCGCGAGCGAAAGGGCGAACCGCCAUGCAGGCGGCAUGCAACCGCACCAAGGGGGCGCACCCUUUCGACUUCGACGCGUCCAGCAUGGAGGCCCAGGCCCACACAUCAUGUAACCGGCGCGCCGGUUACUACGUAGAAACUGCACCGCCACUCGCGCCACUACUGUGCCUCCUCGACUGCGGAACCAGUACCACGACUCGAGGCAACCCUGCGCAUGACCCAACAGUGCCAACCAAGCACAUCGGUCACGGGUCAGUCAGCCGCGGGAGAAGGCGCGACGGUCGAUACGGCCAGAAAUGGGCCGACAGUAAUGGCGGUGGCAGGAGGGCGAAAGUAGCCGUCACGUCGUCAGCAAGCUCACGCCCCCUCCUGGGACAGCGAGAGGACCCUCUCCCACGGCGUGAAGACGACGCGUUCGUGUUCCGUUCCUCGAACGGCUCGCGCACGCACAACGGCCGCCCCGUGAACCACUCGUCCCGUCGCAUUAACUCUGCGGCGGGACAGGCAGCACCUUUGGCAGGCGAAGCAGGCGACGCUUCACCUCCGCCAUAAUGACCGCGUCAAAAAAGGUGUGUCACGUCAUUCGAUUUCGUAUCCUUUUCCACUUCCUCUUUCUCUCUCUUGCCUCAGGGAUCGAGAAAGGGGAUACUCCGAAAGGGAUCCUUCUCCGCGAAGGAAGCGGGCCCCGAGCCCCCCUACUGAUCAGAGGUUCGAAGGCUGGCCCCUCGAAAGGGUUCAACAGCCGCCUCAGAGCACUCGGGCUCCGCGCCCACUACUGGUCAGAGGUUCGAAGGCCGGCCCCUCGGAAGGGUUCAACGGCCGCCUCAGGCCACUCGGGCUCCGCGCCCACUACUGAUCAGGGGUUCGUAGGCUGGCCCCCGAAGGGUUCGACAGCCGCCUCAGACGCAGAGCGAGGGAUGACCCUGGGUACGUUCGAUACAUAACCAAGGCUCGGGCUACGCUCCCGAGGUACCCUAGGACAUUUCCGAGACUGACGGGAACGAUUUUGUAACGGAAUCCCAUCAGAGGGAGGCAUCGAGCCCUCGGACCCCGUCAAAAGGGGACCUGGUCCGGCAAAUCACCCGCAGGUACUUUUGGAGUGCGCCUCCAGGCCACUAGCCGACCCCUAACGAAUGGGGCACGAGCGUCCACUUGGACUACCCGUUAGCAGCUCGCUGGAGACACCAUGUCCGACGCCCUCCAAGGGCAACAUGGCGCUUUUCCCCCCUCCUCCUUAAGGAAAGGCGACGCAGGGGCGUAUGAAAAAAGCCGAGUCUGUCCUUGACCGUCCUCUCGCCCUGUGCGGAGUCUCGGGGGCUGCUCUCGCAAACCCGGCUCCGGCCAAACCGUUGACAGCGUCAACAUACCAGCCCGAGAACUUGGGACUCGAUUGUGCACCCGGGCUACGGCCAGUUCGCAUGAGGGAACAAUCAGACCGGCCGAAGCAUCACGAAACGCAUUAAGACCUCGAAGGAGUCAAACCAUUCCUCCGAGGCCUCGGGGGCUACACCCGGCGGGUGCGCUCGCGCGCACCCACCGGAACGAAACGCAACCGGGAAAGGCCGGUCCCCUUGCAAAAAAGUGCGACAAAAGCCUCCAAGCGAGUAUUAACACUCUCUUCGAGGCUCGGGGGCUACUGUCGGGGACCAUAAUUAGGGGUACCCCCAAGACUCCUAAUCUCAGCUGGUAACCCCCCAUCAGCACAAAGCUGCAAAGGCCUGAUGGGUGCGAUUAAGUCAAGGCUCGGUCCACUCAAGGGACACGAUCUCGCCUCGCCCGAGCCCAACCUCGGGCAAGGGCAGCCGACCCCGGAGGAUUUACAUCUCGCCCGAGAGCCCCCUCAGGCAACGGACACACCUUCAGCUCGCCCGAGGCCCAGUCUUCGCCAAGAAGCAACCUUGGCCAGAUCGCCACGCCGACCGACCGUAUCGCAGGAGCAUUUAAUGCAAGGAUGGCCUGACACCUUAUCCUGACGCGCGCUCAUCAGUCGACAGAGCCGAAGUGACCGCAGUCACUUCGCCGCUCCACUAACCGACCUGACAAGAAGACAGCGCCGCCUGCAUCGCUCCGACUGCUGUGCCGCUCGACAGAGUGAGGCUGACAGCAGCCAAGUCCGGCCUCGGGCGCCAUAGGAAGCUCCGCCUCGCCCGACCCCAGGGCUCGGACUCGGGCUCGGCCCCGGAAGACGACGAACUCCGCCUCGCCCGACCCCAGGGCUCGGACUCGGGCUCGGCCCCGGAAGACGACGGACUCCGCCUCGCCCGACCCCAGGGCUCGGACUCGGGCUCGGCCCCGGAAGACGACGAACUCCGCCUCGCCCGACCCAAGGGCUCGGACUCGGGCUCGGCCCCGGAAGACGACGAACUCCGCCUCGCCCGACCCUAGGGCUCGGACUCGGCCUCGGCCCCGGAAGACGACGAACUCCGCCUCGCUCAACCCGGGGCUCGGACUCGACCUCGACCUCGGAAGACAGACUCGACCCCGACCUCGGAGGAGCCUCCGCCUCGCCCGACCCAGGGCUCGGACCGACCACGUCACAGGAGGGGCCAUCAUUACCCUACCCCUAGCUAGCUCAGGCUACUUCGAACAAGACCGGCGUCCCAUCUGGCUCGCCCCGGUAAACAAAUAAUGAUGGCGCCCCGCAUGCUCCAUGACGACGGCGGCUCUCAGCCCCUUACGGAAGCAAGGAGACGUCAGCAAGGACUCAACAGCCCCGACAGCUGUCCUUCCGCAAGGCUCCAACGCUCCUCCGACGGCCACGACAUCACAUGAACAGGGUGCCAAAACCUCUCUAGCUGUCACGACGGCAUGUACUUAGGACACUAGCUCCUCUCUGCUAGACACGUUAGCACAUUGCUACACCCCAUUGUACACCUGGACCCUCUCCUUACGCCUAUAAAAGGAAGGUCCAGGGCUCUCUUACGAGAGGGUUGGCCGCGCGGAAGAGGACGGGACGGCGCGUGCACGCCUCUCGCUCCCUCCACGCGGACGCUUGUAACCCCCUACUGCAAGCGCACCUGACCUGGGCGCGGGACAACACGAAGGCCGCGGGUUUCCCCUUUUUACGCCUGUCUCCCUCUAGCUUCCCUCCUUCGUGCUCCGUCUCGCGCCGACCCAUCUGGGCUGGGCACGCGGCAACAGUUUACUCGUCGGUCCAGGGACCCCCGGGGUCGAAACGCCGACAAUGAGUUAAUAUUGCAUUUCUCUCUCUGCAUUGUGACUGAUUCAUAGAUAUACAUAUACAUGCUUAGUUUAUGGUGCUAUUUAUCCGAUAUCCUCAUUGUACAUGUGACAUAACUCAUUUUGUUGUAUUAUUGAAGGUAACCUAGGUAAUCAUAUAUUGUGGAUCAGAUUUCUUAUGUAUACGAUUAUACUUUUUUCCUUAUGUUUAUUAUACUACUAUUGGUAUGAGUCUGCUAUUCGUUUCACGAGCCUUGUACCUUUUUCAACCUAAAACUAGGCAUUAUUCCGGUAAGUGCAGAUGCAUUUCUAGCAGCACUGGAUAUCAUGUGUAUUCUGACCAUGUUAUUCUUUUACAUGACAUGGGGAUGAAUGUGAGAGUUCAAAUGAAGAAGAUGAAUACUCUCCAAAGAGUACUAAGGGCAAGAAUAGGCCAAGCAGCAACACCCUUGAAGACACCUCCAGGGAAAAAGGCAAGGAUCACAACACCGUCUAUGGGCAAAAAAAACCUGCUGAGAAGUGUUACAUUCGAUCGCAAACUUGUAUAGCUCAUAGUUCUUUUCCAUGGCACUGGAACCUCAAUUUGUGAUGUGUAGUUUGCAGUUAGUGAUGAUGCUAAGAAAAAUAUCCACGUCCAUGUCGAAGUUGGUGAAGACGGCUCGCUCAAUCAUUGACAACUAUAAGCAAUCCACUGGUUAUAGCUGCAAGUCGUGCAGCAAGUAAUUUUCUCGCCUCGUGCGGUCGAAGCACAGUGCUCAUUGCAAGGUGAAUUAUAACCAGUGCUCAUUGCAAGGUGAAGCUAGUGAUGAUGCUAAGAAAAGUACCAGAAUUUUUCUCACACAUGGGCGUCCUUUUUGGUCGUGGACUUUCUGCUCGUCCGUCAGUCUGGAAACUCAUUGCAAGGUGAAGCACAGUGCUCGAAAGUGAAGUAGCAUUGUUAGGGACGUUCGUUAUUAGGCAAGUGAAUUGUGGGUUUGGGUUUACUGCUACAAACGGACUAUGUCCGAAGCUUAUUGAUUAUUGCGGGUUGUUGGAAAGUUGCUGUUUUUUCUGCUCAACAGAAUGUGUAAUUGAGAUUUUCUUGAAUUAGAAAGUUGUUGUUUUGCAGCGGGUAUUGACAUAUAACCCCUCAUUUCCUUA